rnacentral:rRNA from 1 species
AUGCCCCCCGGAAUACCAGGGGGCGCAAUGUGCGUUCAAAGAUUCGAUGAUUCACUGAAUUCUGCAAUUCACAUUACCUAUCGCGUUUCGCUGCGUUCUUCAUCGAUGCCAGAACCAAGAGAUCCGUUGUUGAAAGUUUUAAUUAUUAAGUUUUGCUCAGACGACACUAAAUAAACAAGAGUUUAACGGUUCUCUGGCGGGCGCUAACCAGCGUGAGCCGGCAGCGGCAUUACACCGCGGGCCCGCCAAAGCAACAAAUUUAGGUACACAAAGGGUU